AUUGAACGCUGGCGGCAGGCUUAACACAUGCAAGUCGAGCGGUAACAGAGAGAAGCUUGCUUCUCUGCUGACGAGCGGCGGACGGGUGAGUAAUGCCUAGGAAUCUGCCUAGUAGUGGGGGAUAACUUGCCGAAAGGUAAGCUAAUACCGCAUACGUCCUAAGGGAGAAAGGAGGGGCCCUUCGGGCCUUUCGCUAUUAGAUGAGUCUAGGUCGGAUUAGUUAGUUGGUGAGGUAAUGGCUCACCAAGACCGCGAUCCGUAACUGGUCUGAGAGGUUGAUCAGUCACACUGGAGCUGAGACACGGGCCAGACUCCGACGGGAGGCAGCAGUGGGGAAUAUUGGACAAUGGGGGGAACCCUGAUCCAGCCAUGCCGCGUGUGUGAAGAAGGUCUUAGGAUUGUAAAGCACUUUAAGUUGGGAGGAAGAGCAGUUAACUAAUAUUUGACUGUUUUGACGUUACCGACAGAAUAAGCACCGGCUAACUUCGUGCCAGCAGCCGCCGUAA
rnacentral:rRNA from 1 species